CAGCAGCCACGGUAAUACAGAGGAUGCAAGCGUUAUCCGGAAUGAUUGGGCGUAAAGCGUCUGUAGGUGGCUUUUCAAGUCCGCCGUCAAAUCCCAGGGCUCAACCCUGGACAGGCGGUGGAAACUACCAAGCUGGAGUACGGUAGGGGCAGAGGGAAUUUCCAGUGGAGCGGUGAAAUGCGUUGAGAUCGAAAAGAACACCAACAGCGAAAGCACUCUGCUGGGACGACACUGACACUAAGAGACGAAAGCUAGGGGAGCAAAUGGGAUUAGAUACCCGGGUAGUCCCUGUCUCUUAUAC
rnacentral:rRNA from 1 species